CAUACAGAAGGCUGAGCCCCACCCUCACUCAUGCAGGGGAAAGCUGCAGAGCUGUUAGUUCAUCCUAAAAACUGAAUAAUUGAAUGGAGUAUCUCUUCAGCAGGAUCCAGAUGACUGAAACUCUCUUUUCCAAUAGAGUGGAACUGGUGAUUGUAAUCUAUUCAGAAAUAAAAGGUACUUUAAUGACUCACUGGCCAGUUUCCUUCCCUGGUGAUGUUGAAAAGCCAUCCAGACAUGUUCCUAUACAACAUGCUCUAGGUGAUACAACUCAUGCAAGGAAGUUGAACCAAAUGAACCAGAUGUCCCUUCCAAGCUUAACUCUUCUUCGAUUCCGUGAGAAACACAGCCAGGCUGAACAAACCAAAUUCUCCCAGUACUCUUAAUACAGAAGGUGUUCCAUCCCUCUAUUGAACUUGGCGGCCCCCUGAACUUGUUUCAACAGCUGUGUUUUGCUGGAAGGUGCAACUCAGCCAGAGGGAGUGAGGUCAUGCACUUGCUAACUGCUGGCUGUCGUAUAUUGGAUCAAUACACAGUUUUUUGGAGCAGCAGCCCUCUCCUGAGGGAAGGAAGCAGAAUGGGAGGACUCAGAAGUCUCCACACCAAGAAGGGAAGCAGACACACUAUAAAGAGAAAGAGCCAAUACACAGGCAGUUUCCAGAGGUCUCCAGUGCACUGCUUGGAAUUAUUCAUUACUCAGCAAGACACUCAACAUUGCUGUACUCAGAGCAAGAGUGCGGUGAAAGAAAAGACCUACCUCUGAGAUGAAACAGUGAGCAGUGAGGACUUCUAAUACUCUUUUCAUUUUGAUUUGAUCUGACCAACUUGAUCUGAGCUUCUGUUCCACAGAAGUCAUUGUAUUGUAGUAUAUCCUUCAAAAAAAAUGUAAUGUCAGCAGUCCAGAGUCCUUUCAGUAUUUUUAGUAUCAACACUUUAAAGAAAAGGUAUUGAUAUACACAGUUUAAUUACAUAGUCAGGAUUUCUGAAUUUAUCUAUGCAUCCAAAAGGAAUGUUGGGGAAUCUCUUGAAAGUAUGAUUGAUUCUGUUAAGUAGAAAUCAAUAAGACAAUCUUUGGUCCCACACUCAGAAAGAUGAGAUUUAUUAGUAUCCUUUUUAGCUCAAUGAAUGUUUUUUGAUAUGUAUAAAUUAAAUCCUGCAUCCAUAUUUUUCAGGACGUAUUAUUUAAAUACCAGGUAAUAGGACCUACAGAUGGAUCUGCCUGAGGACAUUACCAGAUUAUAAAUACUUAAUUUUAAUAUUAAAGCUCUGGUAGAAUUUUCUCCCUUCUAAUUAAUUAAAAAUAAGUACAACUGAACAAGAGAGAGAGAAAAAGAAAGAGAACCAUUUAAGAAAUGUUAUUAUGACAUCCCAUCAAAACAGAAUUCUUUACAAGCUCAUUUUCUUUAACAUAUCCUUUUUCAAAGUGUAUCAGAAUUGUUAGGUAAUAUUCCCCAUUUGCUUCACUAUAUUCUUGUAAAAUAUUUCAUAAUAUUUAAAAGAAAAUAAUCAAAACUUGUGUUACUGAUUUCCUUUUAGAUAAUGGAAUAAUGAAGAGAUUGCAGGUUGUAGAGACCUCUCAGGAACAAUGUUAAUAAAUGUAAAAAAGGUUAAAUAUCUGGCAGAACAGGGACUUGCAAUUAAGUGUUGCAGAUUAUGUUUAAAAUAACAUUUGUUCUACAUCUAAUGUGAGCCAAGAGACUUACUAAAAAUUGCUUUCUAGAUUAUACUCUAUUCCCAGAAAAUUAAAAUAAUAAUCUUUCCCUUGAGUGUUUAGAGGAACUGUAUUGAAGAGAAGAUUUUUAACAUCUCUUUUUGAUUUUUUCCUUGUAAUAUUAUCAUUUGUGAUUGCUAGACAGAAGUAUAAAUUUUCAGUUUACAGGGCAAUCUCAUUCGUUCCAGAGAUCUAGUACAUGAACAUUUAUCUAAAUAUGGAAGUGAAUAAAUUCCAGAGAGAUUAACACCACUUUUUUUAUCCAACCAUCAAGAUAAUCAUAAAUGAAACCUGGACACAGAAUCCUUCACCUGGAAAUUCCAAGUCAAUCAAUUCAUGAAUGGUGGCUAUAAACUGGUAUCUGGUUACUGUCAAAUUGUCUUGACUUUGAUGCUUCGCUUGAGUCAGACCAAACGGUAAGAAAAUGAUUCUAUGAUUACAGUAUGUGCUUUCAGUAGCAUUUGUAUUUCAUUAAAGGUGACAUUACUACCCAAGUUCCAAAACAUUUGUCAUUUAUUAAAUUGACUUUAUAUCCCGGUGUAUUGGGUUUGUGUGGCUUUGAUUUUUGGCAACAGGGCAGUUACAGGGAUGGCUCCCAUGAGAAGUUACUAGAAGCUUCCUCAGUGUCCAGCACAGCCAAUCCCUGGUGGUUCCAUAGGCAGAAAUGUCAAUUAGACAUGGUGGCAAUGCCUCUGUGAUAACACAUUUUAGAAGAAAUCUAAACAAAAA